UGUCAAAAAAGAGAAGUGGCCACAGGGGGGGAUUCAGAGGGAACAAGGUGGCAGGAAAAGCUGGAGCCUAAUUGAUUUGACGUCCCCAACACCACCGCCAGUGACAAUAAUAAUUAUUUGCAAGCUCUGGCUGAGGGAACCAGUGGCAGAGAGGAAGCAGCCGCGAAUCAUGGCCCCCAAGCAUGGCAGCCAGCAGCAGCCAUGUGGCUGACAAUGAGGGUGGACUCUCUCACAGCACCCUCUCUUCAUGUGCCUCCACUUUGCCAUCCAGGCCUCCUUACAGCCAGCAGUCAGGUGACCCUUCCUUUCCCUUUGAAGAUCCCUGGCAAUCACCUGGAAUUCUUUCACCUGCCUCCUUGCCAGCAAUAGAGACUUGGAGAUGUCCCUCUUUGACCUCUGGAAACUGGAAGAUGACCUUGGUCCUGCACAGCUGGACAGAUGGGAACCAUAUCAACUCUUUUCCAAUUCUCUGGUAGUUCCCCGGUGCUUCAGGAUUUUGACAGAU
rnacentral:lncRNA from 1 species